CUAGUAAUGGCAGGUCAGCAUACUGCCGUGAAUACGUUCCCGGGCCUUGUACACACCGCCCGUCACACCAUGAGAGUUGGAAAUACCCGAAGCCUGUGAGCUAACUUAAAGAGGCAGCAGUCGAAGGUAGAGCCAAUGAUUGGGGUGAAGUCGUAACAAGGUAUC
rnacentral:rRNA from 1 species